rnacentral:lncRNA from 1 species
AGAAAAAGACUUUUUUCUCCUAGUCCUUCCCAGAGUUCCAAAGAGAAAGAACAAGAGAAAUUAGGAAAAGUGAGGGAUCACAGAAACAAAGGAAAAGCAGUUAAAUAAGAAAAGUAAUGGCAAUAGUACAGCAAUAAAAUAGCCCUAGUUCCUCCUCAAGGCAUAUACACACAAUUUGACACACACCUUCGAGCUGUUCUGCAGAAACUACGACCACCUCCAUCCAGGAGGAGGACACACCAGCACUGACCCCAGGCUGGUUGGAACCAGAAGGAUGAUGAUGAAGAUUCCUGGAGCACCACGCUGUCACCUCCCCACCAACCAAUCAGAAGAAAGUCAUGCACCCUGCAGCCCUCACCCAAACGUUGCCCUUAAAAAUUCUUCCCUGAAGGAGUUCCCCUUGUGGCUCAGCAGAAAUGAAUUUGACUAGUAUCCAUGAGGACACGGGUUCAAUUCCUGGCCUCGCUCAGUGGGUUAAGGAUCUGGCAUUGCUGUGACCUCUGAUGUAGGUUGAAGAUGAAGCUUGGAUCCAGUAUUGCUGAAACAUAGAUGGGCAGCUUUAGCUCCGAUUUGACCCUUAGCCUGGGAACUUCCACCUGCCACGGGUACAUCCCUAAAAAGACCAAAAAAAAAAAAAAAUUCUUCCCUGAAGACCAUCAGGGUGUUUCUCCAAAUCAACCCUUACUUUACUGCAAAUGUCAGCUAUCAGGGUUUGGCUCUCUGAACCACAGCACAAGAUUGCUUGCUGGGUAACAAAAGGAUAAAGGAACUUCUCAUGUGCUUUUUGCUAAAGUUAGGCCAGACCAAAAUUGCAACACACGCUUCAGUUACUCUGAGGUUAUAAGCCAAUGGUGAGGGGUGUGGAAAAUGGGCUGAUUUAUAAAUACCACUUGGUGGUAUAUGAAAAAUGUAUCAUCAGUGUUUUUACCUAUAAAUUAAUAGGGCCUUCUAUUAAGAUACUGUGAUGAUUUUUUUUUUUUUUUUUUUUUUUUUUUUUUUUUUUUGGCUGUGCGUGCAGCAUGCAGAAGUUCCCAGGCCAGGGAUGGAACUUGCACCACAGCAGUGAUGAUGGCAAGUCCUUAACCCGUUGGCCACCAGAGUACUCUGAAUCCUGUUUUAAUUAUAUACUUAAACCUGGAAAGAGUAGAGUAUGUAUACAUACACACUUAAGGAAGGGUCAUUUUGAUUUUCAAGUUGAAGUUUGGUUAGCAGUCUUUAUAUACUCUAUUUUAAUGUACCAUUACCUGCAAAAACAAAAUAGGUCACGUCUUUCCAAAUAAACAAAAGGAGACAUUCAGGAAACAAAAGGAGACAUUCUUGAAACUUGGCAUUAUUCCUUCUCCCAAUUCAGAGUAAGGUCCAAAAG